GAUGAACGCUAGCGGCAGGCCUAACACAUGCAAGUCGAGGGGCAGCACAGAAACAGCAAUGUUUUGGUGGCGACCGGCGGACGGGUGCGUAACGCGUAUGCAACCUACCUUUAACAGGGGGAUAACGGAGAGAAAUUUCCACUAAUACCCCAUAACAUCGAACAAGGCAUCUUGAUUGGUUGAAAACUCCGGUGAUUAAAGAUGGGCAUGCGUUGUAUUAGGUAGUUGGUGAGGUAAUGGCUCACCAAGCCUACGAUACAUAGGGGGACUGAGAGGUUAGCCCCCCACACUGGUACUGAGACACGGACCAGACUCCUACGGGAGGCAGCAGUGAGGAAUAUUGGUCAAUGGGGGCAACCCUGAACCAGCCAUGCCGCGUGCAGGAAGACGGCUCUAUGAGUUGUAAACUGCUUUUAAACAGGGAUAAAGCACAGUAUGUAUACUGUGUUGAAGGUACUGUAAGAAUAAGGAUCGGCUAACUCCGUGCCAGCCGCCGCGGUAA
rnacentral:rRNA from 1 species